rnacentral:rRNA from 1 species
AUUGAACGCUGGCGGCAGGCUUAACACAUGCAAGUCGAACGAGCGGCGGACGGGUGAGUAAUGUCUGGGAAACUGCCUUAUGGAGGGGGAUAACUACUGGAAACUGUAGCUAAUACCGCAUACCAUAAGAUGUUCCCAGAUGGGAUUAGCUAGUAGGUGGGGUAAUGGCUCACCUAGGCGACGAUCUCUAGCUGGUCUGAGAGGAUGACCAGCCACACUGGAACUGAGACACGGUCCAGACGCCUACGGGAGGCAGCAGUGGUGAAUAUUGCACAAGGGGCGCAAGCCUGACGCAGCCAUGCCGCGUGUGUGAAGAAGGCCUUCGGGUUGUAAAGCACUUUCAGCGAGGAGGCGUUACUCGCAGAAGAAGCACCGGCUAACUCCGUGCCAGCAGACGCGGUAAUUC